rnacentral:tRNA from 1 species
GGGGUUAGCUCAGUUGGGAGAGCGCCGCGUUCGCAAUGCGGGGGCCGUCUGUUCGAACCAGAUCAGCUCCACCA